rnacentral:rRNA from 1 species
UACGAAGGGGGCUAGCGUUGCUCGGAAUGACUGGGCGUAAAGGGCGCGUAGGCGGAUGGCACAGUCAGAUGUGAAAUUCCCGGGCUUAACCUGGGGGCUGCAUUUGAUACGUGUGAUCUAGAGUGAGGAAGAGGGUCGUGGAAUUCCCAGUGUAGAGGUGAAAUGCGCAGAUAUCGGGAAGAACACCCGUGGCGAAGGCGGCUCUCUGGGACGGUACUGACGCUGAGACGGCGAAAAGCGUUGGGGAGCGAACAGG